rnacentral:tRNA from 1 species
GUUUUAAUAGUUUAUAUAAAAACCUUGGUUUUGUAAAUCAAAAAUGAGUAUUUUCUCUUAAAACU